rnacentral:rRNA from 1 species
AUUGAACGCUGGCGGCAGGCCUAACACAUGCAAGUCGAGCGGAUGAAGAGAGCUUGCUCUCUGAUUCAGCGGCGGACGGGUGAGUAAUGCCUAGGAAUCUGCCUGGUAGUGGGGGACAACGUUUCGAAAGGAACGCUAAUACCGCAUACGUCCUACGGGAGAAAGUGGGGGAUCUUCGGACCUCACGCUAUCAGAUGAGCCUAGGUACGAUUAGCUAGUUGGUGAGGUAAAGGCUCACCAAGGCGACGAUCGUUAACUGGUCUGAGAGGAUGAUCAGUCACACUGGAACUGAGACACGGUCCAGACUCCUACGGGAGGCAGCAGUGGGGAAUAUUGGACAAUGGGCGAAAGCCUGAUCCAGCCAUGCCGCGUGUGUGAAGAAGGUCUUCGGAUUGUAAAGCACUUUAAGUUGGGAGGAAGGGCAGUAAGUUAAUACCUUGCUGUUUUGACGUUACCGACAGAAUAAGCACCGGCUAACUUCGUGCCAGCCGCCGCUGUAACAC